rnacentral:lncRNA from 1 species
AAUCUAUCUUUUUUUUUUUUUGUUCUUUGUCUAUCGUAUCGUCUCCGUACAAAAAUUCUCCCAUGUUUGAUUUCGGUUCUCGUAUUUAUAAUAGGAGGGGUGAUGAGAGAUAUUUUGAGAAAUUCGAAAUUCGAAUUUGAAUUUUGAAUAGGUUGUUGGAUAGUUGGAGGAUUUUUGGGAAUUGGUUGAAGAUUCGAAAUUCGAAAUCGAAUUUUGAAUCGGUUGUUGGAUGGUUGGAAUUGGUUGGGAAUUCGAAAUUCGAAAUCGAAUUUUAAAUCAGUUAUUGGAUGGUUUGAGGAUUUUUGGGAAUUGGUUAGGGAUUCGAAAUUCGAAAUCGAAUUUUGAAUCGGUUGUUGGAGGAUAUUUUGAAAAUUAAUUGGAAAUUCGAAAUUCGAAAUUGAAUUUUGAAUGGGUUGUUGGAUGGUUAGGUAUUCAAAAUUCGAAUGAGAGAUAUUUUGGGUGUUCGUUCGAAAUUCGAAAUCGAAUUUCGAAUCGAAUUUGAAUAUGGUAUUCGAGAUUGAAAUUUUAAAUGUGGGUGAAAAUGUGGGCCGUUAUUUCAUGAAUUGGGCUGAAAUUGGGCCCACUUUGUUGAUGAAACUUGUUGGGCAUGAAUAUUUAUUGGGCUGAGAUGAGGCCCGAAUUUUUGUAUAGGCCUAAAAUCUUACAGGGCUUUCAUGAGGCCCAUUAAUUCACAGUUAUGAAUGGGCCUAUUGUGGAU